rnacentral:rRNA from 1 species
UACGUAGGGUGCGAGCGUUAAUCGGAAUUACUGGGCGUAAAGGGCGCGCAGGCGGCCGAGCAAGUCGAGUGUGAAAGCCCCGAGCUUAACUUGGGAACUGCGCUCGAAACUACUUGGCUAGAGUGUGGCAGAGGGAGGUGGAAUUCCACGUGUAGCGGUGAAAUGCGUAGAGAUGUGGAGGAACACCGAUGGCGAAGGCAGCCUCCUGGGCCAACACUGACGCUCAUGCACGAAAGCGUGGGGAGCAAACAGG